GAUUAAGUUAUUAAGGGCGCACGGUGGAUGCCUUGGCACUAGAAGCCGAUGAAGGACGUUACUAACGACGAUAUGCUUUGGGGAGCUGUAAGUAAGCUUUGAUCCAGAGAUUUCCGAAUGGGGAAACCCAGCAUGAGUUAUGUCAUGUUAUCGAUAUGUGAAUACAUAGCAUAUCAGAAGGCACACCCGGAGAACUGAAACAUCUUAGUACCCGGAGGAAGAGAAAGAAAAUUCGAUUCCCUUAGUAGCGGCGAGCGAAACGGGAAGAGCCCAAACCAACAAGCUUGCUUGUUGGGGUUGUAGGACACUCUAUACGGAGUUACAAAGGACGACAUUAGACGAAUCAUCUGGAAAGAUGAAUCAAAGAAGGUAAUAAUCCUGUAGUCGAAAAUGUUGUCUCUCUUGAGUGGAUCCUGAGUACGACGGAGCACGUGAAAUUCCGUCGGAAUCUGGGAGGACCAUCUCCUAAGGCUAAAUACUCUCUAGUGACCGAUAGUGAACCAGUACCGUGAGGGAAAGGUGAAAAGCACCCCGGAAGGGGAGUGAAAUAGAACCUGAAACCGUGUGCUUACAAGUAGUCAGAGCCCGUUAAUGGGUGAUGGCGUGCCUUUUGUAGAAUGAACCGGCGAGUUACGAUUUGAUGCAAGGUUAAGCAGUAAAUGUGGAGCCGUAGCGAAAGCGAGUCUGAAUAGGGCGUUUAGUAUUUGGUCGUAGACCCGAAACCAGGUGAUCUACCCUUGGUCAGGUUGAAGUUCAGGUAACACUGAAUGGAGGACCGAACCGACUUACGUUGAAAAGUGAGCGGAUGAACUGAGGGUAGCGGAGAAAUUCCAAUCGAACCUGGAGAUAGCUGGUUCUCUCCGAAAUAGCUUUAGGGCUAGCCUCAAGUGAUGAUUAUUGGAGGUAGAGCACUGUUUGGACGAGGGGCCCCUCUCGGGUUACCGAAUUCAGACAAACUCCGAAUGCCAAUUAAUUUAACUUGGGAGUCAGAACAUGGGUGAUAAGGUCCGUGUUCGAAAGGGAAACAGCCCAGACCACCAGCUAAGGUCCCAAAAUAUAUGUUAAGUGGAAAAGGAUGUGGCGUUGCCCAGACAACUAGGAUGUUGGCUUAGAAGCAGCCAUCAUUUAAAGAGUGCGUAAUAGCUCACUAGUCGAGUGACACUGCGCCGAAAAUGUACCGGGGCUAAACAUAUUACCGAAGCUGUGGAUUGUCCUUUGGACAAUGGUAGGAGAGCGUUCUAAGGGCGUUGAAGCAUGAUCGUAAGGACAUGUGGAGCGCUUAGAAGUGAGAAUGCCGGUGUGAGUAGCGAAAGACGGGUGAGAAUCCCGUCCACCGAUUGACUAAGGUUUCCAGAGGAAGGCUCGUCCGCUCUGGGUUAGUCGGGUCCUAAGCUGAGGCCGACAGGCGUAGGCGAUGGAUAACAGGUUGAUAUUCCUGUACCACCUAUAAUCGUUUUAAUCGAUGGGGGGACGCAGUAGGAUAGGCGAAGCGUGCGAUUGGAUUGCACGUCUAAGCAGUAAGGCUGAGUAUUAGGCAAAUCCGGUACUCGUUAAGGCUGAGCUGUGAUGGGGAGAAGACAUUGAGUCUUCGAGUCGUUGAUUUCACACUGCCGAGAAAAGCCUCUAGAUAGAAAAUAGGUGCCCGUACCGCAAACCGACACAGGUAGUCAAGAUGAGAAUUCUAAGGUGAGCGAGCGAACUCUCGUUAAGGAACUCGGCAAAAUGACCCCGUAACUUCGGGAGAAGGGGUGCUCUUUAGGGUUAACGCCCAGAAGAGCCGCAGUGAAUAGGCCCAAGCGACUGUUUAUCAAAAACACAGGUCUCUGCUAAACCGUAAGGUGAUGUAUAGGGGCUGACGCCUGCCCGGUGCUGGAAGGUUAAGAGGAGUGGUUAGCUUCUGCGAAGCUACGAAUCGAAGCCCCAGUAAACGGCGGCCGUAACUAUAACGGUCCUAAGGUAGCGAAAUUCCUUGUCGGGUAAGUUCCGACCCGCACGAAAGGCGUAACGAUUUGGGCACUGUCUCAACGAGAGACUCGGUGAAAUCAUAGUACCUGUGAAGAUGCAGGUUACCCGCGACAGGACGGAAAGACCCCGUGGAGCUUUACUGUAGCCUGAUAUUGAAAUUCGGCACAGCUUGUACAGGAUAGGUAGGAGCCUUUGAAACGUGAGCGCUAGCUUACGUGGAGGCGCUGGUGGGAUACUACCCUAGCUGUGUUGGCUUUCUAACCCGCACCACUUAUCGUGGUGGGAGACAGUGUCAGGCGGGCAGUUUGACUGGGGCGGUCGCCUCCUAAAAGGUAACGGAGGCGCUCAAAGGUUCCCUCAGAAUGGUUGGAAAUCAUUCAUAGAGUGUAAAGGCAUAAGGGAGCUUGACUGCGAGACCUACAAGUCGAGCAGGGUCGAAAGACGGACUUAGUGAUCCGGUGGUUCCGCAUGGAAGGGCCAUCGCUCAACGGAUAAAAGCUACCCCGGGGAUAACAGGCUUAUCUCCCCCAAGAGUUCACAUCGACGGGGAGGUUUGGCACCUCGAUGUCGGCUCAUCGCAUCCUGGGGCUGUAGUCGGUCCCAAGGGUUGGGCUGUUCGCCCAUUAAAGCGGUACGCGAGCUGGGUUCAGAACGUCGUGAGACAGUUCGGUCCCUAUCCGUCGUGGGCGUAGGAAAUUUGAGAGGAGCUGUCCUUAGUACGAGAGGACCGGGAUGGACAUACCUCUGGUGUACCAGUUGUCGUGCCAACGGCAUAGCUGGGUAGCUAUGUGUGGACGGGAUAAGUGCUGAAAGCAUCUAAGCAUGAAGCCCCCUCAAGAUGAGAUUUCCCAACUUCGGUUAUAAGAUCCCUCAAAGAUGAUGAGGUUAAUAGGUUCGAGGUGGAAGCAUGGUGACAUGUGGAGCUGACGAAUACUAAUCGAUCGAAGACUUAAUCAA
rnacentral:rRNA from 1 species